rnacentral:tRNA from 1 species
GACGUUACCGUUGCUACCGUGCUCUUUGGUGCUGGUUUUACUGUAAUUGUAUACGUCACCUUUGUUGUUCCAUCUUC